UGCUUGGGUAGCUCAGUUGGUAGAGCACUUGCCUGUGAAAAGCAAAGGUCCCGAGUUCGAGUCUCGGUCUGGUAC